rnacentral:rRNA from 1 species
UACGGGGGGGACUAACGUUAUUCAUCAUAACUGGGCGUAAAGGGUACGUAGGUGGCUUUCUAAGUCAGGGGUGAAAUCCCGGGGCUCAACCCCGGAACUGCCCUUGAAACUGGAUGGCUAGAAUCCUGGAGAGGCGAGUGGAAUUCCGAGUGUAGAGGUGAAAUUCGUAGAUAUUCGGAAGAACACCAGUGGCGAAGGCGACUCGCUGGACAGGUAUUGACGCUGAGGUGCGAAAGCGUGGGGAGCAAACAGG